CUCUGGUUCUCCCAUCUGUAAGACAGAUACGAAUACCAGGAUUUACUCCUACCUAACCCAAAUAACCCUAUUCAAUUUUUUUUCAUCUCAUUUGACAUCAAUAUAAUGUGGUUAUGAUGACACUUGUGAUGUACUUUGCUUAUCCAAUAUGUAUGGCCACUUUUGCAGCAUAAGGAAACAACUACAACCACUUAAGACAUCAACAAUGUGUAGUGUAACUUUAGUUUAUUUGCUUGUACAUUUCCCCUUGUUUCUCAUAAUUCACUACAGUAGCACAUUAGGUUGCUGACCAUGGACAUUUUACCUGACAAAAGAAAAUCUUAUUAAGAUUUAUACUACUCGCUAUGAAGUAUCGGCGAUGUAUGGAGAAUUAUAAGCUGGAAAUAAGGGAGAAGGAGGUUGAGUUUGUUGUUUGAGCAUUAUUUUCAUUGUGGUGCUAGCAUUCUGCCAAAUGAACUUCCAUGUUUCCCCAACUUUUGUGAGCUUUUCUCUUUCUGUCUGUUUUCUCUAGAAUGGUCAGCAAAGGUAAAUAGACAAAUCGAUAGCUGAAAUCAAACUUGUCUCAACAGGUCGUAUAGAAAAAGACUACAUGAUUUUGGUCCUUUUGAAACAUUGUUGCUGCAAAGUUUGUUCAUUUUGUUUUGAUU